rnacentral:lncRNA from 10 species
UAUGAGUCAGUUCUGAACAAUGAGCCUUAAGGAGAAUCUGCCUAAGAUUUCAGGAGUAUCUUUCUUUUCUGAUAAGAGCAGCAUGCAAAGUCAGAAAGCCUUUUUUGUCCUCUUCCCAUCACUUUCAGCUUUAAAAGCCAUAAUAGAAGAAUGUGGUGCUCGAGCUCUGACCAUGAAGAUAAACACCAGUGUGCCCUGAAAGCAAUGGAGUCAAG